ACUCCUGCGGGAGGCAGCAGUGGGGAAUAUUGGACAAUGGGCGCAAGCCUGAUCCAGCCAUGCCGCGUGAGUGAUGAAGGCCCUAGGGUUGUAAAGCUCUUUCACCGGUGAAGAUAAUGACGGUAACCGGAGAAGAAGCCCCGGCUAACUUCGUGCCAGCAGCCGCGGUAAUACGAAGGGGGCUAGCGUUGUUCGGAUUUACUGGGCGUAAAGCGCACGUAGGCGGACUAUUAAGUCAGGGGUGAAAUCCCGGGGCUCAACCCCGGAACUGCCUUUGAUACUGGUAGUCUUGAGUUCGAGAGAGGUGAGUGGAAUUCCGAGUGUAGAGGUGAAAUUCGUAGAUAUUCGGAGGAACACCAGUGGCGAAGGCGGCUCACUGGCUCGAUACUGACGCUGAGGUGCGAAAGCGUGGGGAGCAAACAGGAUUAGAAACCCCAGUAGUCCC
rnacentral:rRNA from 1 species